UAUUUCUCUCCAUUUCCCAAUAUGUAUAGCGCAAAAGUUAGGGCUUAGGAGGUUUCAUCUUCGUAUUGUGAACAGCAAUGGCUGAGGAAACAGGAACAAAAACAGAAAUGAAGCCAUGGGAACAACACUCAAAAGUGAUUCGCAUUCCUCGUUUUGAUUACAACGCACCUUCAUCUAUUCUUCAACAUUCGUACUCUGGCUUCCUCAUCACCUGCCCUAUAAAGAGGGAGAAAAGCGCCACCAAAGAAGCCAUCUCUAUUCUUCAAAAGUAUCUUGGAUCCUGCUACUGUAACAGUUCUGGAAGUCUGGACAGCUCAGAUACAAAUGGUGACACUAAGAGAAGGAAAAUCUACAGAGAUGAUACAAGUGAGAAAUGUGCCAAUGUUGUGGAAAGUGGGGGAACUAAAGAGGAUGCAGGUGGACUUCCAAAGGAUGAUUGUAUUCCUGAUUCAAAAAUAGAUUCAAAUACAGAAAAUGAUUUUGAUAUGUCUCUAGUGAAGCUAACUAGAAGUGGUUUGCUUCUCUUUACCUUCCCAAGGGAAAAAUCUUCUAACGUUGUUAGUGUUGUGUCAAACAUUGUUCAAUCUAUUGACUCUGGUAGUUUAAAGUCACCACUUUGGUGUCAUAGAAUUUUUCCUAUCCAAUCUACUUGUAUUUUGAAGGAGACAGACCUUCAGGCAACUGUAUCAAAGUUGGUUCGUAAAUUUGUGAUUGAUGAACAAAAUAAACUCUCCCACCCCGUUAAGUUUGCAGUGGGAUAUAACCGAAGAGGAUGUGAAGAGACACAGAUGAAGACUACAAAGGAUGCUUUAAAUGGUUCUAAUCUCUUUGCUCUGUUGGAUCGCAACAAAUGCUUCAAUGUAGUGGCUGCUGCAGUUAAAGAUGUUGUAUCAGAUUCAGAAGUUGACCUCAAAUCUCCAGAGCUUUCUAUUCUUGUAGAGUUGCUCCCCGUUGCUGUACCACCUACCGAGCCAUUAGUUGUUGCUGUCUCUGUUCUUCCUCAUAACAUUGUGACGACAAAGCCUCGGCUAUGCAUCAGGGCAUUGGCCUCCAAUAUGUAUUCAAAGAAUGAAAGGACUUGAAAGAAAUCAAUAUGUGAGAAAAUUUUACUUGACGAAGAAUCAAGGCAUUGACAAGAGGUCCAAGGUCCAUAUUUCGCUCCCUCUCUUCCAUGGGCGUUCAUAUGACCGGCUAGAGCUUCAACAGAUCUUAGUUCUCUUUUGCAAAAGCUACAUGUGUAAGAUCUUGGUGGCCAUGAAAUCCUAUUAAGAUAUUCGUCUCUAUUGCUGUUGUUGUUGUUGUUGUUGUCUUAAAGGAUUUUACUUCCAAUUUUCUGGUUUUUAGAGUUGUUGCUUUGCACCGUUGUUAUGACAUUGUUGGUCUUCCUUCAUUUAUGCUACGUGGACACAUCACUUCUCCCUCUUCUUGAUCA